rnacentral:sRNA from 1 species
GGGACUCAGCCCUUCGCAAGAGCCAGGGCCUGCAGAGCAAGCUGGAGAGCCUGGAGCAAGUGUUGAAGCACAUGCGGGAGGUGGCCCAGCGGCGGCAGCAGCUGGAGGUGGAGCAUGAACAGGCUCGGCUCAGCCUACGGGAGAAGCAGGAGGAGGUCCGGAGGCUGCAGCAGGUGGGGCGGCAGUGAGGGAAGCUGGCAGGCUGCUGGACACCAGCUUUGCCACUCACUCAUUCCACAAGCAUUUACUGUGUGCCCGGCACUGUGCUAGGCGUUGGGGAGACUGUGGGGAACAGAGACCAGGUCCCUGAGCAGUCAGCAAAUUAGCAGAUCCAUGAGUGAGCUGCUUUCAGACACUGAUGAGCACAGUGGUGGAGAAGAACAGGGUGAUGUGACAAAGUGACUGGGAUGG